ACGCUCCUGAUCUUCUUCAGUCUUUCCAUGCACAGUACCCUGCUAAACCAGGAAAAAGGGCAUCCAGAGGCUGCGCCUGUAGAGGUGGAGGUAAUGUGAGGAACUGACUCUGCUGGGUUUCGAACCCCGGUUUACAUGGUGCUAAACCUCUUCCUUACCAGUACACCAGCCUGCCUUUUGGAAAUUUACCUGAGGUCUGAUACCAUUGCUUGUAGAGUCAAGGUUAUCAGUGACAACUCUCUUCAGCUG
rnacentral:lncRNA from 1 species